AAAGUCUGACCUGCCCUAUGAUUAUAAUUAAAUGGCCGCGAUAUUUUGAUCGUGCAAAGGUAGCAUAAUCAUUAGUUUCUUAAUUAGGAACUGGAAUGAAAGGUCGAACGAAAAAAUUACUGUCUCAAAUUAAAUUUUUAUAGAAUUUUAUUUUUAAGUAAAAAAGCUUAAAUAAUUUUAAAAGACGAGAAGACCCUAUAGAGUUUUAUAAUUAAUUUAUUAUAUUUAAGAUAAAGUAUAUAAUUUAUUUAAUUUAAAUUAAUUAUUUGAUUGGGGUGAUUUAAAAAUUUAUAGAACUUUUUUUUAUUAAAGACAUUUAUUUAUGGUUAUAUGAUCCA
rnacentral:rRNA from 1 species